GACGAACGCUGGCGGCGUGCUUAACACAUGCAAGUCGAACGGAAAGGCCCUGCUUUUGUGGGGUGCUCGAGUGGCGAACGGGUUAGUAACACGUGAGUAACCUGCCCUUGCCUUUGGGAUAACUUCAUGAAACUGGGGCUAAUACCGGAUAGGAGCUCCUGCUGCAUGGUUGGGGUUGGAUAGUUUCGGCGGUUGGGGAUGUAUUCGCGGCUUAUCAGCUUGUUGGUGGGGUUGUGGCUUACCAAAGCUUUGACGGGUAGCCGGCCUGCGAGGGUUACCGGCCACAUUAGAAUUGAGAUGCGGCCCAGACACAUACGGGAGACAAGAGAGGGGAAUAUUGAACAACGGACCGGACCCUGAUGCAGCAACGACGCGUGCGGGAUGACGGACGUCGGGGUGUAAAACGGUUUCGCCAAUGACGAAGCGUGAGUGAAGGUAAUGGGUAAAGAAGCACCGGCUAACUAAGUG
rnacentral:rRNA from 1 species